rnacentral:rRNA from 1 species
UACGUAGGUGGCGAGCGUUAUCCGGAUUUACUGGGUGUAAAGGGCGCGCAGGCGGUAUAUCAAGUCAGCUGUCAAAGACUGGGGCUCAACCCUGGUAUGCGGUUGAAACUGAUAUGCUGGAGUGCUGUAGAGGCAAGUGGAAUUCCCAGUGCAGCGGUGAAAUGCGUAGAUAUUGGGAAGAACACCGGUGGCGAAGGCGACUUGCUGGGCAGCAACUGACGCUGAGGCGCGAAAGCCAGGGGAGCAAACGGGAUUA